UUCAACGGAGAGUUUGAUUCUGGCUCAGGACGAACGCUGGCGGCGUGCUUAACACAUGCAAGUCGAACGAUGAAGCCUAGCUUGCUAGGUGGAUUAGUGGCGAACGGGUGAGUAAUACGUGAGUAACCUACCUUUAACUCUGGGAUAAGCCUGGGAAACUGGGUCUAAUACCGGAUACGACCAAUCUCCGCAUGGGGUGUUGGUGGAAAGCGUUAUGUAGUGGUUAUAGAUGGGCUCACGGCCUAUCAGCUUGUUGGUGAGGUAACGGCUCACCAAGGCGACGACGGGUAGCCGGCCUGAGAGGGUGACCGGCCACACUGGGACUGAGACACGGCCCAGACU
rnacentral:rRNA from 1 species